rnacentral:rRNA from 1 species
UACGUAGGGGGCUAGCGUUGUCCGGAUUUAUUGGGCGUAAAGAGCGUGUAGGCGGCCAGGUAGGUCCGCUGUGAAAGUCCGAGGCUCAACCUCGGAAUGUCGGCGGAAACCCUCUGGCUAGAGUCCGGAAGAGGAGAGUGGAAUUCCCGGUGUAGCGGUGAAAUGCGCAGAUAUCGGGAAGAACACCCGUGGCGAAGGCGGCUUGCUGGGACGGUACUGACGCUGAGACGCGAAAGCGUGGGGAGCAAACAGG